GUGAAAAGACAAGCUAUGCCUCCCACUAGCAUUGAAAUGCACAAAAUCCAUCUUCUACCGAAAUAAUGAAUACUAGGCCACAGAACGAUGGAUUUAGCCCGAAUGGACUCAACCACUCGUAGAUGGCGACAGCGAUGGCAGUAACAUUCAGUGAAGUAAAGAUAGCGAUCCACAGUUCCGGAGAAAAUGGUAACAGAAAUGCUAAUAAUGGUACGUCCGGAUUUGUUUGAGGUGCUGCCAGCAAAGACACACCACCGUGGAAAAAGGGAAUGCUAAAAUCUAUUACUUGAGCCCGCUCCCUGGAAAGAUCGAUUGCAUAUGAUUAAUGAACAGAUAGUAAAUUAUUAUAAACAGAACUUUUAAAAGGUUACAUACCGCGAAACACUCAACGGUGCAAAAGUAAUGUCAGCGCUUCCAGUAACAAGAUCACCAAUGAUUCCAUUCCAUUGAAUUUUCGGCAUCUUGGACAGCGGUACAAUCUUUAAUGGUGGAUCUGUUACGACUUUUGGUGGAUUUAAACUCAAUUCGAUAAUCUGCGACAACUUAGAGCCACGCUUUAAACUUCUACCAGAUUGUGCUGUAUUUUUUAUAACAAGUAAAAAUAUUGAUUAAAGUUGAACAAUUAGUCAAUCGCUAUAUAAA